AAAAACUUWGGAUAUUAAAACCAAGGGCCUUCAA
rnacentral:tRNA from 1 species